rnacentral:misc_RNA from 1 species
GAUGAAGAACGUAGCGAAAUGCGAUAAGUAGUGUGAAUUGCAGAAUUCAGUGAAUCAUCGAAUCUUUGAACGCACAUUGCGCCCGCCAGUAUUCUGGCGGGCAUGCCUGUUCGAGCGUCAUUACAACCCUCAGGCCCCCGGGCCUGGCGUUGGGGAUCGGCGGAGCCCCCCGUGGGCACACGCCGUCCCCCAAAUGCAGUGGCGGUCCCGCCGCAGCUUCCAUCGCGUAGUAGCUAACACCUCGCGACUGGAGAGCGGCGCGGCCACGCCGUAAAACACCCAACUCUUCUGAAGUUGACCUCGAAUCAGGUUGGAAUACCCGCUGAACUUAAGCAUAUCAAUAAGCGGAGGA